CGUUAACAAAAAUAGCUUCUGCAUGGUGAGGUUUCCAGUUCCGCAUGGCUGUGGGAAUCUUCAAUUUGGUUGCCUGUGUGGGUGAUCCAAACUGCUUGCUGUACAGUUGCAGAGACUGUGAUCAAGCAAAAUGUCAUGGCCUUGACCUUGAGGGACAGCCAGGUUUCAGAUCAUGAGGGGAAGAGCCAGGAAAAUCUCAUCAUUAUCACCAGUUGUUGAGGCGCAGUGGCAAGGAUGAGCCAGAAGCACAGAAUGGUGCACAACUGCAGGUAUUAUUUGUUUGCACCCACACCCCAAGAAGACACGAGACACAGAAAAUUAUGGUGAAAAGGGCCACAAUUUUUAUUAAUGUUAACUUUUAUUAAUGUUAAAGUGAAACUGAAAUGGAAACAGGGAUUGGCUCUCCACCCCCACAGUGCGGUACCUAAAGACGUGCCACCUCCAUGGCAUCCUAGCCUAAUUCACAGGGGUGAAAGCACCUUGGCUCCAGGCAGCCCCAUAGCUCUAAAGCAUAGGCUGCCCAUCUUAGCUGACCUAAGGUCAGGUCUCUGCCCUUGGCAG